GACCUGCCCAGAAUGAGGCCUGAUAAUGUACCAUAUCUCUCUGGGUUGCAAGUCAAGGUUUACAAAUAUACAAAUUGAAAUAUCUCAACAUGAGAGAAGAGAGCCUGGAAGAAGUUGCCAGCCCUGUCACUUCCCUGAACGGCAAAAUGUGGUCUCUCACUUCCUUAAUCCACAUUCAUUCCUCGGGCCCUCCUGUCUCUUAUAUCCAGCAGCAGUCAUGACAUGCCUAGAGGAUGGAAUCUUGCCAACAAUUUCACUGAUGGGAUUGCAUCUCACCAUCUUUCUAAACCCGUCAGGGUGAACAAUGGAAAAUACAUAUUUUGCUAUGCCAGGAAUCAACAAUGCUUAAGACCUAUUAUGAAGUUUUCAAGGUGUUCAAGAUGGAGGCGUGAUUACACAACUAGCCAAGUGCAUAGCCCAGUAAAGAUCAAGAGGCAAAAUCCAAGCACUGCUCUGGACGCCAUUACCUCCACUAGGAGCUCCACGUGGAUGCUGAGCUCUGAGUGGAAGGGCUUGGGCCACCAGGAGAUAUAAAGGUGUGCAACUCCCCAGCAUCACAAGGGCUAUGAAUCUCCCAGACUUUGACCUGUUCCAGGGAUUCCCUGGCUCCCCAGAGAGCUACAUCAGGAGUCAACAACUCUGAAGAGCAUCAUGUGACCUAUUAUGUUUUUUGGGUGUUUAAAAUGGAGGGUCGCUGAUCCCUGAUUCAAAUGUGAAGGGCGGCAGGGCCGUAUAGCGGCAGCUGUAGUUGCCUGCAUGUUGGGGACCGACGAAGAGCAGCUUCAGCUCCACGGGCUCACUGGAAGAAGAUCCUGAGAAUGGCGGUGCCUGUUCCAUGUAGAUACAGCUGUAGUUUCCAGAGUCUAUUGUUGAGAUAUUGUGCAGCUCAAAGACUGCUUCGGUCCCAGACGAAUUCAGCAUUUGCACCACAACUAAUUCCGGUUUGCCCUGGCGUUGCAGGCCAAAGCGCAGGCCGGAUACGGGUGCAGUACAUCGAAGCUGCACCGUUGAACCAGGCUCAAGGUCCCUACUCGAUGGCUCUGCAGAGUAGCAAAACUACCUUGAUACUUUCAGAAGAGGCGGCAGUAAAGUUGCAAAGAACUCUCAUCUCUAAUUGGGUACAGAAGAAAGAUGAAAAUAGAAUUUGACAUUUUUGAUAUGAGGUCUGAACAGCAGAUGCAGGAUGAUACAGAACCAGGAAUCAAAAGAGCUGAGAGAAACUUCUCACUGCAACAGGAUGGUAAUGAGUGUUCCCAGUUAAUACAGAGACUUAUAACUGGUAAAAUUGUUGAGAAUAAAGGACAUAUUGAAAUGCUUGAUGUGCCAACUGGUGGACAGUCAUGAAUAUGACUCACAAACUGCCUUGCAUCUAGCCAGCACUAUUAACAGAGAAUUAUUAAGAAUACUGCUUCUUCUGAUAGGUAUGUUGUUAAACACUAACUCUCUCAGUGGCCUUCAUGGUACAAGCUUGGAGUUAAGAAUACUAAGAGAUAUGCUUAGAUGUAGGACACUUGAAGUAUACACACACACACACACACACACACACACA
rnacentral:lncRNA from 1 species